rnacentral:rRNA from 1 species
CCUACGGGAAGCAGCAGUGAGGAAUAUUCCGCAAUGGGGGCACACCCUGACGYAKYGACGACGCGUGGAUGACGAAGKCCUUCGGGUUGUAAAAUCCUGUCAGAUGGGAAGAAGUGCUAUAUGGUUAAUAUCUGUAUAGUUUGACGGURCCAUCAAAGGAAGCACCGGCUAACUCCGUGCCAGCACACCGCGGUAAUACGGAGGGUGCAAGCGUUGUUCUGGAAUUACUGGGCGUAAAGCGCGCGUAGGCGGCUAUGUAAGUCAGAUGUGAAAGAYCCGCGGCUCAACCGUGGAAGUGCAUUUGAAACUGUAUAGCUUGAGUACUGGAGGGGGUAGUGGAAUUCCCGGUGUAGAGGUGAAAUUCUGUAGAUAUCGGGAGGAAUACCGCUGGCGAAGGCGACUCCCUGGCCAGAUAUCUGACGCUGAGGUGCGAAAAGACGUGGGGAGCACAACACGGAUUAGAUAUCCCCUGGUAGUGCCACGCCCGUAAAACGAUGUCAAUCUACGGUGUUGGAGUGAGUUAAUCGUCUUCAGUUGCCGCASCCUAACGCAUAA